rnacentral:rRNA from 1 species
UACGGAGGAUCCAAGCGUUAUCCGGAUUCAUUGGGUUUAAAGGGUGCGUAGGCGGAACGAUAAGUCAGUGGUGAAAGCCUGUAGCUUAACUACAGAACUGCCAUUGAUACUGUCGAUCUUGAGUAUAUUUGAUGUGGGCGGAAUGUGUCAUGUAGCGGUGAAAUGCUUAGAUAUGACACAGAACACCGAUUGCGAAGGCAGCUCACAAAAACUAUAAACUGACGCUGAGGCACGAAAGCGUGGGGAUCAAACAGG